rnacentral:rRNA from 1 species
GACGUAGGGUGCGAGCGUUGUCCGGAUUUAUUGGGCCUAAAGCAUCCGUAGCCGGUUCUACAAGUCUUCCGUUAAAUCCACCUGCUUAACAGAUGGGCUGCGGAAGAUACUAUAGAGCUAGGAGGCGGGAGAGGCAAGCGGUACUCAGUGGGUAGGGGUAAAAUCCUCUGAUCCAUUGAAGACCACCAGUGGCGAAGGCGGCUUGCCAGAACGCGCUCGACGGUGAGGGAUGAAAGCUGGGGGAGCAAACCGG